rnacentral:rRNA from 1 species
AUUGAACGCUGGCGGCAUGCCUUACACAUGCAAGUCGAACGGCAGCACGGGAGCAAUCCUGGUGGCGAGUGGCGAACGGGUGAGUAAUAUAUCGGAACGUGCCCAGUCGUGGGGAUAACGUAGCGAAAGCUACGCUAAUGCCGCAUACGAUCUAUGGAUGAAAGCGGGGGAUCGCAAGACCUCGCGCGAUUGGAGCGGCCGAUAUCAGAUUAGGUAGUUGGUGAGGUAAAGGCUCACCAAGCCGACGAUCUGUAGCUGGUCUGAGAGGACGACCAGCCACACUGGG